rnacentral:lncRNA from 1 species
UUUAGUACUCGUGUGCUUGCGCCCUUUGGAGGCAUUCUGUUUAUUUCCAAUUGUAAAUCAUCGCCAAUAAAACAUCCCCUUUUGAGACUUUGUCUCAAGAGAUCUGCUCCUUACACAAUUGUUUUUUUUUUUUUUAAUUGUUAGUGACUAUCUGGGCGAAACAAUACCACACCCAAAAUUGAAAGAAAUAUUCUCUGACAGUCCCAACUUUCUUCAACAGCUACUGCGUUUAUUUUCUUCUCUUCCAG